rnacentral:rRNA from 1 species
GACGAACGCUGGCGGCGUGCCUAAUACAUGCAAGUAGAACGCUGAAGGAGGAGCUUGCUUCUCUGGAUGAGUUGCGAACGGGUGAGUAACGCGUAGGUAACCUGCCUGGUAGCGGGGGAUAACUAUUGGAAACGAUAGCUAAUACCGCAUAAGAGUAGAUGUCGCAUGACAUUUGCUUAAAAGGUGCAAUUGCAUCACUACCAGAUGGACCUGCGUUGUAUUAGCUAGUUGGUGAGGUAACGGCUCACCAAGGCAACGAUACAUAGCCGACCUGAGAGGGGGAUCGGCCACACUGGGACUGAGGCAAGGCCCAAGCUCCUACGGGAGGCAGCAGUAGGGGAACUUCGGCAAAGGGCGGAAGUCUGACCGAGCAACGCCGCGUGAGGGAAGGAGGUUUUCGGAUCGUAAAGCUCUGUUGUAAGAGAAGAAAGAGUGUGAGAGUGGAAAGUUCACGCUGUGACGGUAUCUAACCAGAAAGGGACGGCUAACUACGUG